AGAAUUGGGUGGGAGAUCCUUGUCUACCUCAACUAUACUUAUGGGAAGGCCUUCGUUGCAGAUAUAAUGCUAAUCAACCUCCCAUCAUCACACACUUGAAUCUGUCCGCAAGUAGAUUGGCCGGCAACAUUUCUCUUAGCAUAUCCGAUCUUACAUCCCUGGAGUACUUGGAUUUAUCCAAUAAUGGAUUGACUGGCCAAUUGCCUAGCUUUCUAAGUGAAUUGCCAUCUUUGAAAGUCUUGUAAGUGGCUAAUUUC